UCCGUAGGGUGCGAGCGUUAAUCGGAAUUACUGGGCGUAAAGCGUGCGCAGGCGGUUGUGCAAGACAGAUGUGAAAUCCCCGGGCUCAACCUGGGAACUGCAUUUGUGACUGCACGGCUGGAGUGCGGCAGAGGGGGAUGGAAUUCCGCGUGUAGCAGUGAAAUGCGUAGAUAUGCGGAGGAACACCGAUGGCGAAGGCAAUCCCCUGGGCCUGCACUGACGCUCAUGCACGAAAGCGUGGGGAGCAAACAGG
rnacentral:rRNA from 1 species